rnacentral:rRNA from 1 species
AGUAACGGCGAGUGAACGGAGAUUAGCCCAGCACCGAAGCCUAUUCACGCUUGUGGACAAGGCAAUGUGGUGUUUAGGCGUGCACCUGGGAUGACUCGUCUACUCGAAGUCCAUCUCCGAUUAUGGUCUUGGAUUUGUCCCAAAGAGGGUGAAAGGCCCGUUCGAGUAGACAUGCAGCAUUCUGAGUCAUCCUCUGAUUUGCACGCCUUGGAGUCGGAUUGCUUGAGAAUGCAGUCCAAAGUGGGUGGUAAACUCCAUCCAAGGCUAAAUACCUGCACGAGUCCGAUAGUAAACAAGUACCGUGAGGGAAAGUUGAAAAGUACUCUGAAGAGAGAGUAAAUAGUACGUGAAGCCGCCUGUUGGGAAGCGGAUGGAGUCAAGCUUCAUGCCUGAUUGAUUAGUGCUGCGAGAUCUCCUUGUUUAUAUGAUCGUUACUGAUGGUUUGCCUGGAAAUGGUGAGGCGGAUUAUCCGCUUCCUGCAAUCUGGGUUGCUUGCUUGAGCCAUCAGUUUCGGUUAGUCUCGCGCAUCCUAUCACCAGGCCUACAUCACGGUUGAUAGCCUCUUGGUGCUUGAUAGUCAAACCAUGUCCGUGUGGGUUAAGGCCUGCUGGUCGUGGGCUGGCAGGUGGUUGCAGAGCAUAGCGAUAUGCCUUUCAACUUAUGUUGUUUACAGCCGACUAUCAAGCCAAUGCUUUACUAUUUCGAGCUAUCAAUUUUCGUUCAACCAAUUGCCCUUACCGGCAGUUGGUGAGAGAACCGUGGUGUUGGAGUAGAUUUUCCAUCCGACCCGUCUUGAAACACGGACCAAGGAGUUUAACAUGCUGGCAAGUUAUUGGACUAUUUGAACUCCAAUGGCGCAAUGAAAGUAAAUGAUCAGCUUGCUGAUCUCGGUGUGAUGCUUGGUUUCAUUAGACCGGAGCC